rnacentral:rRNA from 1 species
CCUACGGGCGGCAGCAGUGGGGAAUAUUGGACAAUGGGGGGAACCCUGAUCCAGCCAUGCCGCGUGUGUGAAGAAGGCCCUUGGGUUGUAAAGCACUUUCAGUGAGGAAGAACGCCUGGUGGUUAAUACCCAUCAGGAAAGACAUCACUCACAGAAGAAGCACCGGCUAACUCCGUGCCAGCAGCCGCGGUAAUACGGAGGGUGCGAGCGUUAAUCGGAAUUACUGGGCGUAAAGCGCGCGUAGGUGGCUUGAUAAGCCGGUUGUGAAAGCCCCGGGCUCAACCUGGGAACGGCAUCCGGAACUGUCAAGCUAGAGUGCAGGAGAGGAAGGUAGAAUUCCCGGUGUAGCGGUGAAAUGCGUAGAGAUCGGGAGGAAUACCAGUGGCGAAGGCGGCCUUCUGGACUGACACUGACACUGAGGUGCGAAAGCGUGGGUAGCAAACAGGAUUAGAUACCCCGGUAGUC